rnacentral:lncRNA from 1 species
UCAAGUCCAAAGAGCAGAAAAUUAGCAUGAACCAUGAGCCACGUCAACUGAACGAGAGGAAGAGAUUUGAGAGAGACCUGUUGACCAGUUUCGGCCCUGCUGUCGGCAUGGACAGUAAUUAAUACGGCAAUGAAUGCAGCUCCAUCUCAACAUCAGCAAGUAGCCAGUGUACACAGCCGGAGCAGUCCCUGAAGUUCAUGAGACGAGUUCCCUUUGAUACGACUGUUGCUGAGCCCUCAGAAGCAGCCACUCUGUAAAGAACCUACAUGAUCUAACCCGAUGUUCAAUCUAUAGAGAGUCAAACACAGUGUAAAAUCUGAUGCUUCAAGUCUUCUCUCCCCAAGCGCACUGCAGAAAAGUCAGCUCACAAACUAUUUGGUACAGCUGACCAUAUAAAAGAUAACACACCUCUGGCUGUUCUUGAGUACAGGUCAAGUGAAGACAUACAAAGAGAAGAAAAGUUCUGGAAAUCCAGCAUGAAGGACGGCGCCCAACCUGUAUGAGGGAGGAAGGAAAAACGGACGAUAUCAGCAAAUAAAUAACUCGAUGCCUCAAUGGACGACUCCAGAAAGUGAUGGGACUUUGUUGCGUCAACAGGGCCCUGGAAAACGAUACUAUGGAAAGAUGAACCUCUGUCAUCUUAUUUGGCAUCAAUCUUCAAAAAAUAAAUUAUACUAAACAUUUGGCCACCCGAUUUUGUGCCUAAAGAUGUCAUCUGAAAACUUGUUUCAGCAUUGAAAAAUGAGAGCGUGGAUCAUUUACCUCAUGAGAAAGAAAAAGUAGUGUUUGGGUCAUAUACCACCUGGGACAGCAGAUUACAUAAUUGACAUAAGGGAUUUUCAACAACCAUUACUAGAUCAGAGCAUCAGAUACCAAAGAUUUCAUAUUCAGUUUCGUUGCCUAAUUUAAUAUCUGAAAUAAAAAAACUGUUUCUGGGUAUUGAAGAUGAUUCGUGGCUUCUGUUCAAUGAUCUUUGCGACAAUGGCACCCCAGUACCCUUGUUUUUAACUGAAAUGUCUGAGGCUUGAUUAACGGCACCAGUUAAUUGUCAUCACCUGCUGGAGAAGGAUCCUCAAGGGCCGCUGAUUAAUUUGCCUCACUACGUUCAUUGAUCCGAAGAAUUUGGGCAUCCAGAAAUUCAGAAUUCUCGAGCUCCAAGCCUGCCGGAUCCUUCGAAGAAGUGAUCUCCUCCAAAGGAUUAUCAGAAGCAUAAUCGCCAUGAUUUCUCUUGACAAAUAGCUCUGGAGAUUCCCUGAAGCAAUCUGCCAAAAACCACGCGUUACAAGCGAACUAGAAACAGGGCCAUUUCAAGCACUUGGAUAAAAGGCUGAUACCUCUGAAAAUGUAUCUUAAGGCUGAUACUUAAGGCAAGCAUUUAGAGUGCAAUAUAGGCCAGGAGAGGACGAGAUUUCUUUACAUAUGCGACCAAGAAAAACAAUUUAGAAAGAAAAAUGCCCUAAAAAUGUCUCUCCCGGUGCAUCAGACAGAAAAAACUAAC